UUCCUACGGGGGUGCUGCAGUGGGGAAUUUUGCCGACAUGAGGGCAAGCCUGAAUCCAGCAAUGCCGCGUGUGUGAAGAAGGCCUUCGGGUUGUAAAGCACUUUUGUCCGGAAAGAAAUCCUUGGCUCUAAUACAGUCGGGGGAUGACGGUACCGGAAGAAUAAGCACCGGCUAACUACGUGCCAGCAGCCGCGGUAAUACGUAGGGUGCGAGCGUUAAUCGGAAUUACUGGGCGUAAAGCGUGCGCAGGCGGUCUGUUAAGACAGAUGUGAAAUCCCCGGGCUCAACCUGGGAACUGCAUUUGUGACUGGCAGGCUAGAGUAUGGCAGAGGGGGGUAGAAUUCCACGUGUAGCAGUGAAAUGCGUAGAGAUGUGGAGGAAUACCGAUGGCGAAGGCAGCCCCCUGGGCCAAUACUGACGCUUCAUGCACGAAAGCGUGGGGAGCAAACAGGAUUAGAUACCCCAAGUAGUCAA
rnacentral:rRNA from 1 species